GAGAUACGAUCUUACGUAUAAGCUCCCGAAGGGAGCUAGAGAGGGAACUCUUUCCGCGCGUUUUUAUUUCCCAUAGGUUUUGUACAUAGCCAACAUGGCUGCCGGCGGACAAUUUGAAGGAUGAUUUUGGAGGGUCAAUGUUUUAUUCAUGAGAAUGACGUCAAAAUACGCAUAAUGCACUUGUAUGAUUGGAUUGAACGCUAAUGUUUUAUUCAUGUACUCAUGCAUUAAACAUUUUUUUCCGUCCCACAAUUCCCUACGAUAUCUGUGCGAAGUGUCGUUCUUUUGGACUCUGCGAAUUUGAAGUUUCUGAAACAAAAUAGCUAGACUAAUUAUCUGUUUAUAGAAUUGAUGUUCGAAAUCAUGGUUUCUGAGUGAACUUCAUUGGAGCGGAAAAUCUUGGAGGGAACAUCAAUACUAUUCUAAUGACAUUCCAUAGGAAUAAAAAUCCAAUGGGACCAAGUUCUUAGCAGUUCACACCUAGUCAGAAGUACAAAAUUGAGAACCAUGCCGAUCAGCAAGUGUUAGUUACAAUCUAAUGAGGAACAGGAUAUCUGAAUGGAAAAAUUGCAAGGUUUCCCACUUCCUAAGCUGUUUAAGUACUGGUAUCACAACAUAAGUGCCAAGAAGAGAUAUGAAACGGUCUCAAAAAUUUUGCUGGUGCCCCCCCCCCCCGAUGCCGUGACCCACGGUACGCCACUGCAAGUC